rnacentral:sRNA from 1 species
UAAAAAAACUUUUUAUCCAAAGACAGUAGGGGCUUAUGCUUAAUAAUCCUACCGAGGAAAGAUAUUAAAUAUGUAAUAUAACUUUCCUCAUGGAAAGUUUUUUUAU